rnacentral:rRNA from 1 species
AUGAACGCUGGCGGCGUGCCUAAUACAUGCAAGUCGAACGAGUUCUGAUUAUUGAAAGGUGCUUGCAUCUUGAUUUAAUUUUGAACGAGUGGCGGACGGGUGAGUAACACGUGGGUAACCUGCCCUUAAGUGGGGGAUAACAUUUGGAAACAGAUGCUAAUACCGCAUAAAUCCAAGAACCGCAUGGUUCUUGGCUGAAAGAUGGCGUAAGCUAUCGCUUUUGGAUGGACCCGCGGCGUAUUAGCUAGUUGGUGAGGUAACGGCUCACCAAGGCAAUGAUACGUAGCCGAACUGAGAGGUUGAUCGGCCACAUUGGGACUGAGACACGGCCCAAACUCCUACGGGAGGCAGCAGUAGGGAAUCUUCCACAAUGGACGCAAGUCUGAUGGAGCAACGCCGCGUGAGUGAAGAAGGCUUUCGGGUCGUAAAACUCUGUUGUUGGAGAAGAAUGGUCGGCAGAGUAACUGUUGUCGGCGUGACGGUAUCCAACCAGAAAGCCACGGCUAACUACGUGCCAGCAGCCGCGGUAAUACGUAGGUGGCAAGCGUUAUCCGGAUUUAUUGGGCGUAAAGCGAGCGCAGGCGGUUUUUUAAGUCUGAUGUGAAAGCCCUCGGCUUAACCGAGGAAGUGCAUCGGAAACUGGGAAACUUGAGUACAGAAGAGGACAGUGGAACUCCAUGUGUAGCGGUGAAAUGCGUAGAUAUAUGGAAGAACACCAGUGGCGAAGGCGGCUGUCUGGUCUGUAACUGACGCUGAGGCUCGAAAGCAUGGGUAGCGAACAGGAUUAGAUACCCUGGUAGUCCAUGCCGUAAACGAUGAAUGCUAGGUGUUGGAGGGUUUCCGCCCUUCAGUGCCGCAGCUAACGCAUUAAGCAUUCCGCCUGGGGAGUACGACCGCAAGGUUGAAACUCAAAGGAAUUGACGGGGGCCCGCACAAGCAGUGGAGUAUGUGGUUUAAUUCGACGCAACGCGAAGAACCUUACCAGGGCUUGACAUAUACAGGAAUACUUAAGAGAUUAAGUAGCUCUUCGGAGUCUGUAUACAGGUGGUGCAUGGUUGUCGUCAGCUCGUGCCGUGAGGUGUUGGGUUAAGUCCCGCAACGAGCGCAACCCUUAUGACUAGUUGCCAGCAUUUAGUUGGGCACUCUAGUAAGACUGCCGGUGACAAACCGGAGGAAGGUGGGGAUGACGUCAAAUCAUCAUGCCCCUUAUGACCUGGGCUACACACGUGCUACAAUGGAUGGUACAACGAGUUGCGAGACCGCGAGGUCAAGCUAAUCUCUUAAAGCCAUUCUCAGUUCGGACUGUAGGCUGCAACUCGCCUACACGAAGUCGGAAUCGCUAGUAAUCGCGGAUCAGCACGCCGCGGUGAAUACGUUCCCGGGCCUUGUACACACCGCCCGUCACACCAUGAGAGUUUGUAACACCCGAAGCCGGUGGCGUAACCCUUUUAGGGAGCGAGCCGUCUAAGGUGGGACAAAUGAUUAGGGUG